AUUUUCGAGUGGCCAGCUCCUUCUAAUCCACACUGGUGCAGCACUGUGAUUGAAAUUCAGCUGCAUAGCUCUUGCUGGGAAAUGCGGUGACGGAGCAGUGCAGGCGGCAGCUGCCUCCCACACUUAGGAGUUCUAAAGCCACGGUCCCUGUGUGAGUCUCCUGGAGCUCAUAGUCCCUCAAAUGGCAGGCAGUUGAAGAGAUGAAGGCCCAGAGGCAUGAACUCCCACAGCCAGAGGAUAUGAGCGGAUUCUACCUGGUGAGCCUGGGUGAAGAGCCCAUGCCCCCAGCCAUAUCCAUGGCCGAGGCUCAGCCCAGACAGGGCACAAAGGGGCUGAGGAAGAGGAAGUAAGAUGCCAGGGUUGCCAUGCAGGAGGGCAGCCCCGAGUGAGAUGGGCAUCGUGGCCUAGGGCCCACCUUCUCGAAGAGCUCAUCAGAACCUUGGACGCACCACGUGGCCUAGACCCAGGGCUCCUUGAGCCCGUCCCUCGGAUUGGCUUCGAAUUGUAGGUGAACCCUCUCUAGCUGCCACAUUCACCCUUUGCGUGCCCACACUUUGUCAUCUCCUGAAAAGGUGCAAGAACAUGACGCCCGGCUGAUCCCAGGGAGCAGGAGCCCCAGAGGCCAGCGGUGUGCAGCCACAGCAGGCAGAGGAGUCUGGAGACCAUGAAUGCCGUGUGUGUCUGCUAAUCUAAAGCUUGGGCCCAGAGGAAAAUGUCUUUGCAUCUUGAAAGAUCUGGACUCCUUCUGCCUUCUGAGCAUCUGUGAGAUGGAGAUACUAAUAGGGCCUUCCCCAUAGAGAUGUUCUGAAGAUCAAAUGAGAGACCUCAUGGAAAGCUGUUAGCACAGAGCUGACUCCCUCUGAAGGAAGACCAGUGAGGCCCGGAAGAUGGCCUCCUGAGGCCAAGCCACUGAGCUGCAGGACAAAGAUGAUCUUUCUGGGCUCCUGAUAUCCAGACCCCGUCUCAUCUUUCAGCAUGUUCAGAGUAUCUGUGGCUGCUGUGGGCAGAGAGGAGGUACCGGGGAGGUCCUGGCAGACUUAUCUACCAGCAGAGAGACUGAGCCUCCAUGCCACCCCAACUCCCGCUGCCCUUUUGACUGAGCUCUGAACACAAGUUAGAGGAGCUGGGGGAAGCUCCAAGCAGUCAGUACAUGAGCCGGUGAGCAUGCGACGUGUCCCGUCUGGUGCUCAGCACUGCAGGGGACAUCCCCACAAAUAUCACAGCUCGAAUUCUCCGGUUGGGAAGGCAAGACUCACAGACAGAGAACAGUAGAAAAGUCUUCAAGAGGCCCCUGGUGUAGUCUGAGGAGCCCUGGACAGAGGUAAGACCAGAGUUCUAUCCCCAGGCCUUGGGCCUGAAGCAGGUGCCUGUACCUCCAAAAGCUCCAGCCACACCAAGUUCUAGACAACUUCUCAUUGCCUGGAUUGUGGGUGGCACAUCUGAUCGGUGGGGACUGACGCCUGGAGCACUGUGCUGAGGAGGACUCUGAGGCAGCAGCAAGCCUGGCAGGACUGUGGUGGCCAACCAGUGAGGCGGACGGUAGGUGCCACCGGGAUGUCACAGGGAUGUACCUUCCACUUGUUAACCCUUCUGGUUAAGAGCAACUCACUGGCCAUUUCUAAGGACCCCUCCAGCUCCCAAAUGGGAGAAUUCUGUGAUGGAAAUGUUGCAUUUCAAGGCACUGGCUGGAGCACAAUGAGGCAAAGCAGGAAGAGAUCUGUGUGGGCUGGGAUGAUCAAGGAAGGCUUUGGGAAGGAGGCGGCACUUUAGUGCGGCCUCAAGGUGGGGGAGUGUGAGUAGCUGUACCGGAGGUGGGAGGACGUUUAUGUGCAUAAAACUGGGGCUGAGCAUGGGCUGUUCUUGGUACAGGAGGGAGGCGGCUAGCAUCGCUGGAAUGCGCUGUCUGUGUUUAGGGCAAGUAUGAUUACAUACGUGAGAGCACACAGUCUGAGAGCUUCCCACAUGGAAAGCCACAGAGCAAAGAUGACGUUCCAUGCAUGCUGGCUUCCAGUCCUCACAGCUCCUCUCCAAGGUAAACGCUCUUCCCAGCCUUCCCUAGCGUUCUGUGAGUUGCUCAGGGCCACCGCUGGCAGGUGCGAAUCCUGCGUUCAGCCUGGGCAGUGCGGUUCUGAUGGCUUUGGGCAUAACUUCUCUGCCCUGGUGCCUUCUCUACUCUUAGAAGCUGACCAGUAAGGAAACCCAGCAAUGCAGUUGAGACACCAUGGCUGGAUUUGUGGAUUCUAGGGACGAGGAAGAGGCAGGAACAGCUGUAGACCGAGGAAGGAGGGCCUUGCUUGAGUCAUCAAUCACACAAACAGAUCCAAGCCAAGAAGAGGGCAAGGUGGACGUAGAUCAAAGAUAGGCGCUAAGUGCCAUGGGCUAGGGCUUGUUUUAGACUUUCCUCAAGUCCUACAUAAUCUACUGGAAACAACAAAAAUUGUCCCAACACUAUGGGAAUAGGCAAGAAGCUGUGGGAGGGCAUGACAUUCCAGAGACGUGGGGCUCAGCCUGUGAGGAUGGGAAUAGAGCCUGCCAUGGUCUUAACACAAGCCCAGAGGCAGAAGGCAACUGCCUAAAUAAAGAUCUCAUUUCAGACAAAGCUUAACCCUGCCUUUGCCCAGGGCUGCAGCCUCCAGCCGUCUCCACGCUGUCCCUGCCUGGCACCUGGUGGUGCGCUGGGGAACUUUGCUGUUUCUCCCUCGUUUCCCAGCCCUCUCUCCUUCCUUCCUUCCUUACUGGGUUCAUGGACAGCUCCAGCCUCCACUCAGCUUGGCCUCUCAAUUCCAUGGCCAGAAGGUCCUGUUGUGCACCGCCCUGCCCCCAGGCCCCUAUGUCUCAUCUUGCUUUCUUCACCUCUCCCACCACCUUUGUCCCCACCCAUCCGGAGAUGGAUCUGAAACCAGCCCCGGUAUGAAACUCUCCAGCCUCUCUCCCAAACAUCCUCGCGUCCCUGCCCCGCUUGCUCUGGUCCCACUCCAUCUCAAGCGCCCUCUGUGGUCCUCCCUUCUGGUUUCUCCCUCUGGCCUCCAGGAGGCCUCUGGUGUCCGCACAACUUCCUGACAUGGAGGAAGGACCAGAGCUGUAACGUGGGGCUGGAAGGUCGCAGAACCACCAGUUCGUCCUGCCCUGCCGACCUCUCCUUGUGAAGCUCUCCCUCCUGCUGUUCAGUCUGUGCUCGAUGACUAGAGGCCUGAUUCUGAAACUCUCUUUUGGGGCCACUGGGUCAGGCAGCCCUCCUCACUGUCAGGAAAUAUAUCCUCAUUUCUUACCUUAAUUUCUCAACUGCAUCUGUUCUUUCUUGUUCUGGGAAGUCAUCCGGUGUGAUGCUGCAGCCAUGCUACUCCUUAGCGCUCUGCUUCCCAACCAAAACAAUGCUCCUUCUCAGCUUUUCCAAAGCUUCCGGCCCCAGCAGUUCUUGGACCUGGGGUACUUUCCUCCCUGCAAGCAACAAAGGAGGACAAGCCCCAGCUUCUCUAAGAUACCUUCGGCUGCCUGGAAGAGGCCUGUGGAAGGCCCCACAACUCUCCACAGACCUCGGGGCGUUGCUGUUUCUUCUCAGUGGCCCUGGUCUCCUCAGCCAGCUCCAGCUGACUUGGCGUAAUGACUAAGAAAACUUUCCAAACUUUCCGAAGACAGUUGGUGAUCCUCUACCCUCCCGGUGACUGGUGAGAACUACCCCCACAGAGAGCCAGCAGAGAGGAAGGCUCCCAGCUCCGGGCCCUGACUCAUCACACACACAAACACUCCCCAGCACUCUUUCCCAAAACAGUUCCCCUCCCACCCAUCCACCCUCCUACCAGGGCUGGGUGACAAAAAUGAACGCCCCAGAGAUCUUGCCAAGUGCUGGGCCAUGCUCAGCCCAGGGAACAUGCAACUCCCCAUAGAAUGGGAGGAGCAGACCCCCACCCCCUCUGGAAGCAAACAGUGUCCGUUGGAAGAAAAAUUGCCACCUGACUCUACAAUGAUCACUGUAUUGUUUUCCAAAUAGCUUGGACUACUUUCCCCCAAAAAAGGGUUCAAAGCUCUAUAAUCAUAAAAUCCUAGAGCUUAAGGCAAUCUUAAAGGUCAUCUUUAGCCCCUCUCCCCUUCCCUGCUUCCAUGCAUCUACACAUGGAUUCAUUUCUCUAUUUGUUCAUCAGAUAGUCACUGGGUUCCUACAAUCUGCCAUGUGCAACACAGGCUCUGGAGGCCCCACAGACAUACUGUUUCCGCAAGGCGCUUGUCAUCCAGUGGGUGAGAAAGCAAGUGACAAGGCGUUGGAAUAAGUAUGACAGGCACUGUGGUAGGAAGAGUGCAUGUUCUAGAAGCACUGAGAGGGCAUGUCACCCCCACCUUGGGGUAGUGGGGGGAAUUCAUGGAGACUUACUGGGAGAUAUUAUAUAUAUAUGUAUAUAUAUGUAAUAAAUAUAAAAAUGUAUUAUAA